GACGAACGCUGGCGGCGUGCUUAACACAUGCCAGUCGAACGAAGAGCGAUGGAAGCUUGCUUCUAUCAAUCUUAGUGGCGAACGGGUGAGUAACGCGUAAUCAACCUGCCCUUCAGAGGGGGACAACAGUUGGAAACGACUGCUAAUACCGCAUACGAUCUGACCUCGGCAUCGAGGAUAGAUGAAAGGUGGCCCCUACAUGUAAGCUAUCACUGAAGGAGGGGAUUGCGUCUGAUUAGCUAGUUGGAGGGGUAACGGCCCACCAAGGCGAUGAUCAGUAGCCGGUCUGAGAGGAUGAACGGCCACAUUGGGACUGAGACACGGCCCAGACUCCUACGGGAGGCAGCAGUGGGGAAUCUUCCGCAAUGGACGAAAGUCUGACGGAGCAACGCCGCGUGAGUGAUGACGGCCUUCGGGUUGUAAAGCUCUGUUAAUCGGGACGAAAGGCCUUUUUGCGAAUAGUGAGAAGGAUUGACGGUACCGGAAUAGAAAGCCACGGCUAACUACGUG
rnacentral:rRNA from 1 species